rnacentral:rRNA from 1 species
UACGUAGGGUGCAAGCGUUAAUCGGAAUUACUGGGCGUAAAGCGUGCGCAGGCGGUGAUGUAAGACAGAUGUGAAAUCCCCGGGCUCAACCUGGGAACUGCAUUUGUGACUGCAUCGCUGGAGUACGGCAGAGGGGGAUGGAAUUCCGCGUGUAGCAGUGAAAUGCGUAGAUAUGCGGAGGAACACCGAUGGCGAAGGCAAUCCCCUGGGCCUGUACUGACGCUCAUGCACGAAAGCCGUGGGGAGCAAACAGGAUUAGAUACCCGUGG